rnacentral:rRNA from 1 species
UACAGAGGGUGCAAGCGUUAAUCGGAAUUACUGGGCGUAAAGCGUGCGUAGACGGUUACAUAAGUCGGGUGUGAAAGCCCCGGGCUCAACCUGGGAAUUGCAUUCGAGACUGCGUAGCUAGGGUGCGGAAGAGGGAAGCGGAAUUUCCGGUGUAGCGGUGAAAUGCGUAGAUAUCAGGAGGAACACCUGUGGUGUAGACGGCUUUCUGGACCAUAGCUGACGCUGAGACACGAAAGCGUGGGUAGCAAACAGG